rnacentral:rRNA from 1 species
AACCUGACCCUGAUGAACGAAAGCUAGGGUAGCGAACAGGAUUAGAUACCCUGGUAGUCCUAGCUGUUAACGUUGUGCACUGGAUGUGGCCGGAUUUGAUCCCGUCUGUGUCUGAGCGAAGGCGUUAAGUGCACCGCCUGGGGACUACGGCCGCAAGGCUAAAACUCAAAGGAAUUGACGGGGGCCCGCACAAGCGGUGGAGCAUGUGGCUCAAUUCGAGGCAACGCGAAGAACCUUACCUGGGUUUGACAUAUACCUGACCGCCGGUGAGAGCCGGUUUCUCUUUGAGCAGGUAUACAGGUGCUGCAUGGCUGUCGACAGCUCGUGCUGUGAAGUGUUCGGUUAAGUCCGGCAACGAGCGCAACCCACGCUGUUAGUUACCAUCAGGUAAUGCUGGGGACUCUAACAGGACUGCCCGUGCUAAGCGGGAGGAAGGCGUGGACGACGUCAAGUCCGCAUGGCCCUUACGCCCAGGGCUGCACACGUGCUACAAUGGCCGGUACAGAGGGUCGCCACUCUGCGAAGAGGAGCUAAUCCCGAAAACCGGCCUCAGUUCGGAUUGGAGUCUGCAACCCGACUCCAUGAAGUAGGAAUCGCUAGUAAAGGCGUAUCACCAACGGCGCAUUGAAUCUGUUCCCGGGCAUUGUACACACCGCCCGUCACAUCAUGGAAGCCGGCUGCACCUGAAGUCGCUA